CCCCCCCCCUUUUCUCGCCUCUCCCUUUCGUGGCUGAGCCUAAUUCAUUUCCAGAAUAAUGGCUGAGAAACGCCAGAUCCCCUGCCUUUCCUCCUCAUUCCCACGGUGGUGAUCCCCAAACUGACCCUUCAAGAGGGUUACAAGUGGUUUUUAAUACAAAUCCGGAUUUCUUGAGGGACCCAGCCUCUUCCCUAGAGACCUUCCUUACUGGAAUGAGACGGAUCACUUUAAAACAGCCUGCAAAAAUAGGAUCAACGUCAAAAUUCUGCCCACAACUCUGACGCUGAGUCUGGCUACACAUUCAAUCAAAUUUCUCCUACUGCAGUUUCCUAGGCAACCAACUUAGCCUUGGAAGCAGGCUGCACAAAAAGGAAGAGAACAAAAAGCUCUGCAACAUUUUCACUCAUGUCGUUCUUUUCCCAUCAUUUAAAAGCACUGCAAAUGCAGGAGUGGGAAAAACAGCGUAGCAUAAAGCCAAGAUCUGGCCAAGGGGUUAUACUUUUAUCCCUACUGUACUCAUGAAAGAAGGACUAAGAUGAAGUCACUCCAGUUUACCUAAUGAAGUUCAGAGGAUCAACCCGGUUUUAGUUACUUUACCCUUACCCUGUUUUUCCAUGCCUAUCCUCCUUCCAGCUGAGAGAGGCUGGAUGUGAGCCCUUUCUAACCCUGCUGCCUCAUCGCUUGAAAUGGUCAGCAUUGUGAGCCGGGCUUGAUUUUCCCUCCGAGGUUCUGAGAGUGUUACAAAGGCCUUGUUAGUCCAGGUAAGAAAAGAUCAGGUGAGGGAAUCAUUCUUACUUCAUAGCAAGUAAAUAAUCAAUACCUCUCACAGCAGCACAGUUUGUGGUGCAUGCUGCAGUGUCACUCAGAGCUCCAUUUCCCUCUAUUGGUAAAAUGUGUUUCUGUCCUCUUAUGUUGAGAUUCAUUCCUGAAAUUCUUCAAAGGAAGGAGCUGACACAAAGGUCUCUGGGCUGUAGACUCUGUGGCUUAAUAUAGGGCACAGUCUUGAGUUACCUGUACCAUGUAGCAUUUUAAAACUUAUUUCUACUGACUGAUGGAGUGCUCAAAGUCAGGAUGAGGUGCCCAUUGUGCUAGCCCACCAACAUUGGCUGGUCCCAAGCACCCUGUAUUCCCAGAAACUUACAGUUCAAAUGGAUGACAGAUGGUGGAAUGAUCCAAAAUGUGUAAGCACAGACCCCACUCUUGAAAUCCGAUUCUCAGAGCUGGACCCCUGUGGCUGUUAAGAUUCCCCAUGGACUUCAGUGGGGCAGCAUGAGUGAAUAAUGGUCUGCCCAUGUGGAUCAAAUUGCAGGUCUGAGUCAUCAGGGUGAGUUUAGGUUUAAAAUUUAAAUAUAUAUACAUUAACCUUAUGAAAUUUCCACUUUGUGAAAUUAUAGGUUUUAGUGUCAUGCCAAAUUUCUAUGUAUUAAUGUUUAAAAUAUAUUAAUUACUUUAUUUUUAAAAUAAAGACAACCUUUUG